GCGGGCGGCGGGCGGCGGGCGCAGCUCAACAAGUUGGAGGUGUAACGUAAGCACCUUUUCCACGGUUUAAUAUCUGAGAAUACCAGCUGGAGAUGCAACGUAAGCACCUUUUCCACGGUUUAAUAUCUGAGAAUGCCGUCACGUCACCGUGCUAAAUGCGCUUGAAGAUGACAAUAGACGUUACGUCUUCUCAGAAAUAUAGGCGCUUGCCAUCGCAAGAAUAAUGUGUCUCAAGGUGAAUGAGCAGCCCCCCAGAAGGGUGAGUGCAAUGGCUCUCAGAUGUAACAUCUAAUCCCCCACCGAGGCUGUCGAGUGCGAUGCCUCAGAAGGGGUUUGCCAGAAAUGGAGGGGCACCAAGCCGCCAACUUCACCGAGGGAUCGAACCUCGCCUUCACAAAUUAAGACAAAAAAAAAAA